UACAGAGGUCUCAAGCGUUGUUCGGAUUCAUUGGGCGUAAAGGGCGCGUAGGCGGCGGGGUAAGUCGGGUGUGAAAUCUCAGAGCUUAACUCCGAAACUGCAUUCGAUACUGCGGUGCUUGAGGACUGGAGAGGAGACUGGAAUUCAUGGUGUAGCAGUGAAAUGCGUAGAGAUCAUGAGGAAGACCAGUGGCGAAGGCGGGUCUCUGGACAGUUCCUGACACUGAGACACGAAGGCCAGGGGAGCAAACGGG
rnacentral:rRNA from 1 species